UGUUGAGAAAGUUUGCAGAAAGAUUUAAGACUGAAAGUGCUUAAGAUAAACGUAAAUAUGUACACUGGAUUAAUAAAUUAGGCUACUGGUCUAAGCAAGUGCGCAUGCGCUCCAAAUCAAUUUAAGUCAUGCACCUGCUUGUUGAUCAUUCGGUGAAUUGAUUGCAUGUGCUAUAAAUUGUAGUUUCAGUGCAGUAGCAGUUGUUUCCUCACUUUUCUGUCCAUCAUGAAAGCUCCUGGUCUUAAAGGCAAGCGCUGCACGGCAUCUCGAAGCUGCAUUUCAAAAAACAGAGAACACGCCUCAUUCAUCUACACGGCCAGACAACAGAUGAGUCCGACGGCAGAAAGGCGCGUCCAUGAGCCCAGGGGUGUGAGCAGAUAUUUGCUGCAAAGAGUGGGGUCUGAGGCCGCGCGGCUCUCCUACUUCAGCCGCCACAGGAGCGUUACGCAGAGGGAGAUCCUGGAGGCAUGGAGCCAGCUAAGAAGCCGCCGCGGGAAUACAGCUGCACUGGCUGGAGCUUGAGUCUGGCGUUUUUAAACCACGUUUUAAAGUGUAUUAAAUUAAUUUUAAAUGGAUGUUAUUAUUUAUUUGUUGUAAUAAAGCCAUUUUGCUUAACUCGUUUCUUUUCCUGAAGCAUGCUAGUUUAAUUUCCCCCUCAGGCGAAGCAAGCUCUGUCUGGACAUUUUCUUGUAAUCGAUCUUAUUAAACACUAAGUU